rnacentral:ncRNA from 1 species
UGACCUCGGAUCAGGUAGGAGUACCCGCUGAACUUAAGCAUAUCAAUAAGCGGAGGAAAAGAAACCAACAGGGAUUGCCUCAGUAACGGCGAGUGAAGCGGCAAAAGCUCAAAUUUGAAAUCUGGCCCCGUCAGGGGUCCGAGUUGUAAUUUGGAGAGGAUACUUCGGGUGUGGCCGUGGCUUAAGUCCCUUGGAACAGGGCGUCAUAGAGGGUGAGAAUCCCGUCUUGAGUCACCGGUCCACGCCCAUGCGAAGUUCCUUCGACGAGUCGAGUUGUUGGGCUUGCAGCUGCACUUUAGCCGUUUCUCCAGCGUGUUCAGGUGAAGCCGAUGACGGCAAUUGCCAUUUCACAUACGCGGUGCCGACUCCGAGGGGCACAUUGAUAAUGUCAAUGAUCUAGCAAGUAUCAGCAAGACGUGGCUGAAAAGAAAUACAGCGCGCAAGGAAGCUUACACGCAGAGUAAAUGUGAACUUCGGCUAAAUCAUAUCCACAUCAGCUGCUUGCACCAAAGCCUAGGGGAAGCGGGAAAGUUACCCGUCUGCUUUUGGGGACUGAAAGUACAUUGGUUAGCUCACUGGCUGCAAAAGCAACAACCCCCAAGGGAUCCAUGUUUACACCCACAUGGAACAGUUGGGAGAUGAAGGGAGAUUUGGUUAAAACUCACCAAAGGCCUGCAUCUUUCACAAUCGUCCUUUGUGAGUGCUUUGCUCGGCGACUGCCUUCCUCCAAUUGCAGACUAGUGCCGUUUGCCGGGGGAAGCAGCAAUCAAUGAGUGCACUUCCUGUUGUUCAUAGCCUCAGGUUAGCUACUUGACAUCCCUUCACGACAAAAUCAUUUUGCCAUGGGUUGCCAU